CCUUCGGGAGCUUGUCAGGUGCUGCAUGGCUGUCGUCAGCUCGUGUCGUGAGAUGUUCGGUUAAGUCCGCUAACGAGCGCAACCCUCGCUGUGUGUUACAAGUGUCACACGGAACUGCCGGUCAUAAACCGGAGGAAGGUGGGGAUGACGUCAAGUCAGCAUGGCCUUUAUAUCCUGGGCUACACACACGCUACAAUGGGAAGGGACAAUAGGUUGCGAAGCCGCGAGGCGGAGCCAAUCCAGCAAAACUUCCCUCAGUUCAGAUUGCAGGCUGCAACCCGCCUGCAUGAAGUUGGAGUUGCUAGUAAACGCAGGUCAGCCAUACUGCGUUGAAUACGUUCCCGGGGCUU
rnacentral:rRNA from 1 species